UAAGGAAUAUUGCUCAAUGGGAGAAAUCCUGAAGCAGCAACGCCGCGUGGAGGAUGAAGGGUCUAUGACUUGUAAACUCCUGUAAAGAAGGAAAAAAUUCCCAUUUGAUGGGAGAUGAUGGUACUUCUGGAGUAAGCCCCGGCUAACUACGUGCCAGCAGCCGCGGUAAUACGUAGGGGGCAAGCGUUGUCCGGAUUUACUGGGUGUAAAGGGUGCUCAGGCGGAUUUGUAAGUCAGAGGUGAAAUCUUACAGCUUAACUGUGAAACUGCCUUUGAUACUGCAAGCCUAGAGUAUGGAAGAGAGUGAUGGAAUAUCUGGUGUAGCAGUGAAAUGCGUAGAUAUCAGAUAGAACACCAAUGGCGAAGGCAGUCACUUGGUACAUUACUGACGCUAAAGCACGAAAGCGUGGGUAGCAAACA
rnacentral:rRNA from 1 species